GUGGAUUAGAUACCCUAGUAGUCCACGCUGUAAACGAUGUCAACUAGGUGUCGGUGGUUUUACACCAUCGGUGCCGUAGCAAACGCGUUAAGUUGACCGCCUGGGGACUACGGCCGCAAGGCUAAAACUCAAAGGAAUUGACGGGGGCCCGCACAAGCAGCGGAGCGUGUGGUUUAAUUCGAUGCGACACGAAGAACCUUACCUGGGUUUGACAUGGCCGUAGUAGUGAACCGAAAGGGGAACGAGCCUUCGGGCAGCGGUCACAGGUGCUGCACGGUCGUCGCCAGCU
rnacentral:rRNA from 1 species